rnacentral:rRNA from 1 species
CGGUGAAUACGUUCCCGGGCCUUGUACACACCGCCCGUCACACCACGAAAGCUGGUUACACCAGAAAUCGUCUAUGACGCUUAAGGUGAAACCAGUGAUUGGGGUG